rnacentral:sRNA from 1 species
UAAAUUGACUUCAUUUGGUCCGGAAGC